UACAGAGGGUGCGAGCGUUAAUCGGAAUUACUGGGCGUAAAGCGCGCGUAGGCGGCUUUGCAAGUCGGGUGUGAAAUUUCGGAGCUUAACUCCGAAACUGCACUCGAUACUGCGGUGCUUGAGGACUGGAGAGGAGACUGGAAUUCAUGGUGUAGCAGUGAAAUGCGUAGAGAUCAUGAGGAAGACCAGUGGCGAAGGCGGGUCUCUGGACAGUUCCUGACACUGAGGCACGAAGGCCAGGGGAGCAAACGGG
rnacentral:rRNA from 1 species